GAAUUUUGGACAAUGGGGGCAACCCUGAUCCCGCCAUCCCGCGUGUGCGCUGAAGGCCCUCGGGUUGUAAAGCACUUUUGGCAGGGAAGAAAAGGCUCUGGCUAAUACCUGCAGCUGCUGACGGUACCUGCCGAAGAAGACACGGCUAACUACGUGCCAGCAGCCGCGGUAAUACGUAGGGUGCAAGCGUUAAUCGGAAUUACUGGGCGUAAAGCGUGCGCAGGCGGUUCGGCAAGAAGGAUGUGAAAUCCCAGGGCUUAACCUUGGAACUGCAUUCUUAACUGCCGGGCUAGAGUAUGUCAGAGGGGGGUAGAAUUCCGCGUGUAGCAGUGAAAUGCGUAGAGAUGCGGAGGAAUACCGAUGGCGAAGGCAGCCCCCUGGGAUAAUACUGACGCUCAUGCACGAAAGCGUGGGGAGCAAAC
rnacentral:rRNA from 1 species